ACCACAACGGGUGGAGCCUGCGGUUAAUUGGAACUCAACGCCGGGCAGCUCACCGGAUAAGACAGCUGGAUGAUAGCCGGGCUGAAGACUCUGCUUGACUAGCUGAGAGGAGGUGCAUGGCCGUCGUCAGUCCGUACUGUGAAGCAUCCUGUUAAGUCAGGCAACGAGCGAGACCCACGCCAACAGUUGCCAGCAUGUCCUCCGGGAUGAUGGGGACACUGUUGGGACCGCCUCUGCUAAAGAGGAGGAAGGAAUGGGCAACGGUAGGUCAGCAUGCCCCGAAUUAUCCGGGCUACACGCGGGCUACAAUGGUCAGGACAAUGGGUAUCGACACCGAGAGGUGGAGGCAAUCUCCUAAACCUGUCCUUAGUUCGGAUUGUGGGCUGCAACUCGCCCACAUGAAGCUGGAAUCCGUAGUAAUCGCGUUUCAAAAUAGCGCGGUGAAUAUGUCCCUGCUCCUU
rnacentral:rRNA from 1 species